UACGUAGGGGGCGAGCGUUGUCCGGAAUCACUGGGCGUAAAGGGUGCGUAGGCGGGUCUUUAAGUCAGGGGUGAAAUCCUGGAGCUCAACUCCAGAACUGCCUUUGAUACUGAGAAGCUUGAGUCCGGGAGAGGUGAGUGGAACUGCGAGUGUAGAGGUGAAAUUCGUAGAUAUUCGCAAGAACACCAGUGGCGAAGGCGGCUCACUGGCCCGGUACUGACGCUGAGGUGCGAAAGCGUGGGGAGCAAACAGG
rnacentral:rRNA from 1 species